rnacentral:rRNA from 1 species
AACGAACGCUGGCGGCGCGCCUAAUACAUGCAAGUCGAACGAGAAUGUGUAGCAAUACACAUGUACAGUGGCGAACGGGUGAGGACUACAUGGGUAACCUACCCUCGAGUGGGGGAUAACCAGCCGAAAGGUUGGCUAAUACCGCGUACGCUUCCGGGACUGCGGUUUCGGAAGGAAAGCGAUACCGUGGGUAUCGCGCUCUUGGAUGGGCUCAUGCCCUAUCAGCUUGUUGGUGAGGUAACGGCUCACCAAGGCAUCGACGGGUAGCUGAUCUGAGAGGAUGAUCAGCCACACUGGCACUGCGACACGGGCCAGACUCCUACGGGAGGCAGCAGUAAGGAAUAUUGCGCAAUGGGCGAAAGCCUGACGCAGCGACGCCGCGUGGGGGAUGAAGGUCUUCGGAUUGUAAACCCCUUUCGGGAGGGAAGAUGGGAUGGGGUAACCUAUUCGGACGGUACCUCCAGAAGCAGCCACGGCUAACUUUGUGCCAGCAGCCG